rnacentral:rRNA from 1 species
UACGGGGGGGGUAAGCGUUGUUCGGAAUUACUGGGCGUAAAGGGCUCGUAGGCGGCCAACUAAGUCGGACGUGAAAUCCCUCAGCUUAACUGGGGAACUGCGUCCGAUACUGGAUGGCUUGGAUUUGGGAGAGGGAUGCGGAAUUCCAGGUGUAGCGGUGAAAUGCGUAGAUAUCUGGAGGAACACCGGUGGCGAAGGCGGCAUCCUGGACCAAUAUUGACGCUGAGGCGCGAAAGCCAGGGGAGCGAACGGG